rnacentral:lncRNA from 1 species
CGUGUAAAUCUUACAUCCUACACAACAAUAAUUUCCAUUUUACUAGUCUUACCACAAUCGUUUUGUUUUUAAUACUAAAAAUCCAAAAAAUUAUUUCAACCCUUGGGCCGGUGUGAUAGGGGUGUCAAUUCAACUCGCUGUUUGCAAACCAGCUCCUUCUCAACUCGAAAUGAGCUCGAGAUCGAAUUACUUGUUUAAUAAACAAGCUAAAUUUUUAAGUUAGUUUAACAAACGAGCCGAACACGAGCUGGGGUCAGCUCACUCGUGGUAUGCACGAUAACAUCUCAAGUACAUAUAUUCGAGGGCAAACAUCAAAUACCACUCCUGUGGUUCCGCACUUUCUCACUUUAGUACUCUUAUGGUUUAAAGUGUAUCAAGUUAGAGUCUUAUGGUUUUAUUUUUAUCUUUUCGUUAGCUUUUUUGUUAAUAUUUUCUUAAAUUAUAUACAAAAAAAUUUCGGAUACCCACCUAGGUUUACCGAGUAUUUACUUUAAUACCCUUUAGUUUUAACUUUGCCAUUGAUUUAACCAGAAAAAUUAAUGGAAUUGAUAAUAAAAAGAUAAAAAUGAAACCACAUGGCACUAAAUUAAUACACUUUAAACUACAGGAUACUAAAGUGUGAAAGUAUAAAACCACAGAGCCGUAUUUGAAGUUUUUCCUAUAUUCUAUAUACCUAAAUAUAAAGUUCAACUCAAUUAUUAAAAUCUCAUUUAUAUGUAAAGUUUUAAUUAAUCUUGGAUCAAAGUUAAAUGGAUAAGAUCUCAUAAAUUUAGUUUCUAUACGCAACCUUCACAAUUCUUUGAACUUGUUGUUCAUGGGCCAGCUUGUGUUCAGUUCGUUAAUAAACAAGCCAAAUAUGAGCUGAAUUUUUUGACUCGAUACUUUAACGAACCAGCUCAUGUUUGGCUCGUUAAUUGACACCCCUAAUUGGUGUCA